GAGGUAGGAGGAUUGCUUGAGCCUGGGAGGUCGAGGCUGCAGUGAGCUGUGAUCAUACCACUGCACUCCAGCCUGAGUGACAGAGUGAGACCCUGCCUCA
ensembl:miRNA